ensembl:lncRNA VSTM2B-DT VSTM2B divergent transcript
GAGGAUUUCCAUUCAGAGAACAGAGGGACCGAGGCAGGAUUUGAAUCCAAGCCUAGUUGGCUCCCAAGCUCAGCUGGCUCCCAAGCCCACACCCUCACAGGGCUACCCACGACCUCCAGAUGGGGAGGAGCUGGGAGAAUGGCUGAGGCCGCAGCAGAAGUGCUGGGUCUGGAGUCCAUCAGCCUCCAGCUCUGCAGGAAGCAUGAGGCAGGCCAGGCCACUCUGCGGGGGAAAGGCAGAGGACCCUGCUGUCCUGAGGGCAGUGGCUGGCCCCCAGCUCACCAUGCCAGGCCACAGUCACCCAGCGGGGUCCCAGAGUGUGGCAGGAACCACCUCUUCCCCUUGGCCUUGCGCUUAGAAAGCAGGCUGUAUGAUGCCGUGUGUGUGCAUAUCUUGCUCACCAAUGCCUCCAAUUCCGUGUUUGAAAUUCAACCCUUGGGGUUAAGCAAGUUCUGGUUCACGUUUCUCUUAAAAUACAGAUCUUCCAGCCAUAUGUGGAGUCGCUGGUGGAGUCUUAUCUCUCUCUCCAGAGUGUGUCCCUGCAGUGGAGGCUGGCCUUUCAUCUCAGCACCAGGGUGCCCAGGGCCCAGUUGAUCCAGGAAGUUUGUUGAAUGAAUGAGUGAUUGGCACAUUCUGGGCAGGAGACUGUCUGGCCCAGAAGAAUGCCUGGUUUCCCUCAGGGCAGGGCACUCCCCUGUGCAGACAGGCGGGCAUGGAGCAGAAACAGCCAGGGUGGACGAGCUUUUCAGCAGCAUGAAGGCAACAGCCGAUUUGUUCACAGUCGAGAGUGAAGGAAUGAAUUUACGAGAACCUGCAUGAACUAUGUGAUCAUAGUGUUGGUGGUCAGACUGUGAGGCACAGGAAGAUGGAUCAGAGGGUCAAAGGGGCACCAUCUACAGCUCAUUUCCCCGUCCUCCAACCAAUGGGCCUGCCCCAGACCUGCUCCCCUGUCCCUGGGGAGGAGGAGGAUAUUCCAGACUCACGGACCUGAACCUCUCUGGGCAUAUGUCCAGUCUCUGUCCUGCAGAGAUGCCUUGGGCCUCCCAUUUCAACAGCAUCCUUCCCCUGAUGUGGGAAAGAAUUUCCUAAUCGCCCUCACCUCUGGCUUCAGGUCCAUGCAACAC